rnacentral:rRNA from 1 species
CGCGGGAUUGGCACGGGGGGACGGGGUGCAGCAGGCGCGAAACCUUUACAAUGCACGAAAGUGUGAUAAGGGAACCCUAAGUGCUUAGUUUUCGCUAGGCUUUUUUCAAGAACAAAAAUCUUGGAGAAUAAGUGGUGGGUAAGACCGGUGCCAGCAGCCGCGGUAACACCGGCGCCACGAGUGGGGAUCAUGUUUAUUGGGCCUAAAGCGUCCGUAGCCGGUUUGAUAAAUCUUUUGUGAAAUUGUCGUGCUUAACACAACAGCGUGCAAAAGACACUAUCAGACUUGGAACUGGGAGGAGUCAGAGGUAUUCUGGGGGGAGCGGUAAAAUGUUAUAAUCCUCAGAGGACCACCUGUGGCGAAGGCGUCUGACUAGAACAGCUUCGACGGUGAGGGACGAAAGCCAGGGGAGCAAAACGGAUUAGAUACCCGAGUAGUCCUGGCUGUAAACGCUGCGAGCAAGGUGUUGCAUAUCUUUCGUGGAUGUGCAGUAUCGAAACGAAGGUGUUAAGCUCGCCGCCUGGGAAGUAUAGUCGCAAGACCGAAACUUAAAGGAAUUGGCGGGGGAGCACCACAAGGGGUGCGGCGUGCGGUUUAAUCUAACUCAACACAGAGAAUCUCACCAGCAGCGACGGCAGAAUGAAGGUCAGAUUGAAGGUUUUACCAGACAAGCCGAGAGGUAUUGCAUGGCCGUCGUCAGCUCGUGCCGUAAGGUGUCCUGUUAAGUCAGGCAACGAGCGAGACCUGCAUCUACACUUGCUAACGAAUCUCUUAAGAUGAUCGAGCACAGUGUAGGGACUGCCUUCGAAAGGAGGAGGAAGGUGCAGGCUACGGUAGGUCUGUAUGGUCCGAAUCUGCUGGGCUACACGCGCGCAACAAUGGUAAAGACAAUGGGAUGCAACUCUGAAAAGAGAAGCUAAUCCUCGAAACUUUAUCUUAGUCCAGAUUGAGGAUUGUAACUCAUCCUCAUGACGAUGGAAUCCCUAGUAACCAGAAGUCAUCAGCUUCUAGUGAAUAUGUCCCUGCUCCUUGCACGAAUUCGCCGAAUCACUAGU